UAUCAGUCAUGCAUAGCAUAUCAAUAAGCGGAGGAAAAGAAACUAACAAGGAUUCCCUUAGUAACGGCGAGUGAAGCGGGAAGAGCUCAAAUUUGAAAUCUUCAAGGUUCUACCCUGACGAAUUGUAGUUUAUAGAAGUGUUUUCUGUUAGUGGAGUGGCAAAAGUUCUUUGGAAUAGGACAUCAUAGAGGGUGAGAAUCCCGUAUUUGGUCAUUCCUCCUAGCGUUGUGAUACACUUUCAACGAGUCGGAUUGUUUGGGAAUGCAGUCCAAAAUGGGUGGUAAAUUUCAUCUAAAGCUAAAUAUUGGCGAGAGACCGAUAGCGAACAAGUACCGUGAGGGAAAGAUGAAAAGAACUUUGAAAAGAGAGUUAAACAGUACGUGAAAUUGUCAAAAGGGAAGCGUUUGACACCAGUGUUGUUUUUCCGAAAAUCAAUUACGAAUGUUUUGUUUUUGAGGAGUUAUGACUUCAUCGGCUUGCUCCUUUCUUUACGAAACUUUCUUAAUGCACUUUUCGGUUAACAAGUCAACAUCAAUUUCUUUUGUUGUAAAAGGGUAUGAGGAAGGUGGCUUUCUUUUCGGAGAAAGUGUUUAUAGCCUUGUGCCUCUGCAAUCGGAGAGAUUGAGGUCUGCAGCGUAGAUCCUUCGGGGUUAGAUACAUUUGUGCUAAGUUAUAGCCUUGUAUAGACAACUUGUUGACUAUGCUCAGUCAUGUAGCUUACUCGCUUAUGCUAUUUUACCUACGCUUAGGAUGUUGACGCGCGUGUGUGCGUG
rnacentral:rRNA from 1 species